rnacentral:rRNA from 1 species
AACAACGGAUCUCUUGGUUCUGGCAUCGAUGAAGAACGCAGCGAAAUGCGAUAAGUAAUGUGAAUUGCAGAAUUCAGUGAAUCAUCGAAUCUUUGAACGCACAUUGCGCCCGCCAGUAUUCUGGCGGGCAUGCCUGUCCGAGCGUCAUU